rnacentral:rRNA from 1 species
CCCUUAGACGUUCUGGGCCGCACGCGCGCUACACUGACGAAGGCAACGAGCUUUCCUUUACCGAAAGGUACGGGUAAUCUUUUGAAACUUCGUCGUGCAGGGGAUAGAUCCUUGCAAUUUUUGAUCUUAAACGAGGAAUGCCUAGUAAGCGCAAGUCAUCAACUUGUAUUGAUUACGUCCCUGCCCUUUGUACACACCGCCCGUCGCACCUACCGAUUGGAUGGUCCGGUGAAGCCUCGGGAUUGUGGUUCUUGCCGCUUUAUUGUGGCGUGACCGCGAGAACUUGUCUAAACCUUAUCAUCUAGAGGAAGGUGAAGUCGUAACA